UAGCACCAUUUGAAAUUGGUU
rnacentral:miRNA from 1 species